CGCUGUCAAACCCAAGAUGGCCGAGUUGCAAUACCGCAUCAACGAGCUGUCAGCCCAGGUGGCGGACCUCACAACGGAAAGGGAUGCGGCCGUAGCGGAGACAAAUCAGUUGACGGUAAAGGUACGUUGUGCGUGUGAGUGUGUAUGGAUGUCGGUGACGGAAGGCGCUACCUAGGACCUCCAGUCGGAGGAGAAAGGACUCCCUUUGUAGUUUGCAGCUGGGCCUUUAUUGCCAUGUUGACCAGCUAAGUAAUUGCCUUGGGAAGCUUCGCCAUCUCCCUCCGUCCAGCGGAUCAUGCCGCCCGUGUCCCUGCAUCUACGCCGUCUGAAUCGGCGGCUGUCUUUUGCUGAGCCCUCCUCUCGUUUCUCCCUUCCAUCCCACCGGCCCUGCCAUCCUGCCGGCUACUUUAUCGGGCUGCGUAGCUCCAAGAGGAAACGGAGGCGCAUUUCCAGACGGAUGGCCGCCGGGUGCGACUGGGCGAGGAGGUGGAGCGACUUAGAGGCAUCCUCAAAAUGUACUCCAUACCCUUCUAAGGCUCGUCGAUGUAACCUAGCCUGUGGCCUUUGUCGUGGGGUCGACUGACAGAACUAGCUUGCCAUUUCCGUGGGGCUUCCACACCGCCGUGCUGCCGUGCUGUGGGGGUCCAGCUCCAUUGCAGGGGUAUACUGCCAGGGGCUGCGGCUGUAGCUUGUGUGUGCAGCUUGCAUAGCCGCAAGGAAGCGCUGCUGCUGUGGGGUUUCAACUUCCAAGGCUGCUAAGAGGACCGGCGUUUCGUUCUUUUCGAGUGCGGGUCUGGGGUCCGCUGGGUGCCGGGAGUGAAUGUCGGUCAUUAGUGGAUUUGUUGCGCUAAGCGGCCGCCCGAUGUGCCGAGACGGCCGUAAGAGCCGUUGGGCGUCGUUGCCUACUACGGGGCCGCUUGGCUUGUAAGGAAGUUAGCGUUGUCGAGGUUGCGGAUAUGGGGGGUAAUGGAAGUAGGCGUUGAGUAACAAUAAGGGGAGGUGGUGCGGUCAGGCUGUCUUAUUCUAAAAGUCUAUAGCUGAAUUCGUGUGUGAUAUCGGCGCUGAUGCGUUCCCUUAUGCAGCAUCUGCCAGGCAUUUUGUGCGCGUGCGUGUGUGCAUACAUACGUGCGGACACUGUUAAUGGCAGGCCCCCGUGCAGCCGCCCGCAGUAACACAACAGAGCGGCCAAAGUGGUCAGAAGCUCUCUUUUGCCGUGUGCCGGGGUUUGCCGGGGUUUGCCGGACAGAUGCAUGGUGUCUGUAUGUAAUGUCUGUGUGUCAGCACGAAACGCUUUUCGUGAAAUGAUGCCGGGCACGCAUUUGGAGCGCUUUUAUCUUUGGUGGAGGUUAGGUUGUCUGUGUGUGUUUAGAUGGGGAAAUCAGCUUGCCAUCUUCCUCCCUCCUCAUAUGACGUGGUAUGCGCAUACGGGCGGCAGAGGUUUAAGCCGCCCGCGUUAAAUCCACCACACCGACCAGGCGACACUUUGCGAAUUGAUUGGAGCCGUACGGGGAGAAAGAGGAAACUGCAGUUGGGGUUACUGGCGGGGUUGCUGGGGAAAUCGCCGGCAGUACGGCGCAUCCGCCCUGCAUCAUGUGUGUAUGUGCGUGUGGUUGUAUGUGAUCGAUGAAUAAUCUGAAGGGGCUAUGCACACAUGCUUUGCACUGAUCUACGGUGUAGGUGUACAUCGAGGGUACUAUGAUAUGGCUAAUAUGGGGUUAAGAGGCAGACGGCGAAGAAAAGGGUGCUGGAUGCCGGAUACGUGACUGGACUCGGGAAGACCUGCUUAGUGCGGAAAGGGGACUUCAUCUGCGUCUCUACCUAGCAUAUCAUGUGGGUGGGGACCCACCUUAUACCUCCAUCGUUGACCGUCUUAGCUGCUGAUCAUCCAUGCCAUGUCAUGCCAUGCCAGCUACACUUUGUCGUCUGUAUGUCAUGUCUGCAUGAAACACUGAAACUGUGGGGGACCCUUAAAGCUUGUGCAAUGCAAAUGACGCAGCAGCAGAGCGUCUAGGUUUUAGUAGUGUUUCGUGCCCAGCUUAUUGGGCUUGGAGUUUGGUAUACGCCGCUCGCACUCCCGCUGACCCCGCCAGCUGUCGUAAGAUUGCGUUGGCGCCCCACGUUGCACCGCGACAUCACCCCGUAGUCAUUGCUUCCUCCUUGCGUGGCCUUUCACGUGCGGGCGGGGUGACAUGGCCCCCUGCAGCAUCAAGUGAUGUGUGUACGGUGUUUAAGGGGUUAUCGUCGUUCUUUAUCCUUGAUUUGAUCCUUUACGCGCGCAAUGGUGCACGACCGUUUGUCGUGAACAAUGACUUUAUUGGACUUGGCCUUUGAAAACCAUCACUGAAUUACCUUGCCGCCCGGUGCCGCAGCUAGCGUGACUGUUCAUGCGGUCCUCUUGAAGGUGCUGCCACACAGGCUAUACCUGCUUUAGAAAGUAUUAAUCUACACAGCUGUGCUAUGUAAGAAUUACGAACCGCACUUCCUUAACUAUACAACGAAAAGCGGUAGAGUGCGGAUCGUGUUCCGCUAACGUUUGCGUGUGUCAAGGCUGUGAAAGUACUGGUGCCUUGGCCGCACCUAACAAACCCUGGUCAGGUGCUUAGGCCAUCAGUGGGCUGGAUCUUUAGCUAUCUGUUUACUGGUGCUCGGGGUUCAAGGCCUCUCGUCGCCGUUCCUUUUGUCCGCCUUCCAACUUAAGUUACCCAUUCGGAGAUCGCUUUCACCUUUGCGCCGGUCUCUCUGGUCAAAUUUUGACCCUUUAUUUUUGGACACCUCAACCACUGUAAUGUAAGUAGCCACCCUUCCGAAGAUCGAAGGUACGGUUGCUAUUACUGUUCCCCACUCGCCUGUCUGUACGUCUUUUGUUGACCUCCGUGUGCGGAUUCGAUGGGAAACCUUUGGCGUCAUGCUUGCUGGUGCUUCCUACUUUCCUACGGAGUUGUCGUCCAGUGCGCCUCCAGGAGGUGAAGGCCCUAACUCUUGAUGUCGUCCGUUCACCAUGCAUCGGGGGUAUUGCUGCGUGCCCGUCUGGUAUGGAUAGCGGUGCGUGGUGCCCGACUGGAUGAAUAUCAGCGGCCAGCUUUACAGUUAUAUUCGAGACCUAACACGUCUGUAACCUUGAAUCGUCUAAGCAAUUCAAACGUACUUAAUAGCAGAUGUCGCGAAUGAAGACCAAGUUCAAUCACGACAAUCUUCAUGUGGAUCGUGAUAAGAAAUUGUAGCUGUGAUCCACUAAGACUCUGUAACUGAAAAAUCUGAAGACAGCUAGGCGCAUGUGAGCCGGCACAUGACGUGACGUGAAUGGACCACCUCUUUUGCCCGAGGGUAGGAGGUAGUACAGGCACAGGCCGUAAGAGCCCGAGACGAAUCCCUUCAAAGAGGGGGGAAUACAGUAGCCGCUCCGCCAGCAUCUACAGAGGCCUUUUCAGCGGCCAGCUAUUACACCUAUUUGAUAACUGCAUGAUGUUAACCAACCCGCUACAAAUGCUGCGCUGGCUGGUGGAGUAAUGCUGCGCGGGCUGUGUGGUGGAUAUAGAGGCAGCUGCGAAGAAGACGCUGCAUGCAAAGGCUUUCAAACCUGACAGAUAACCAUGCGGUGACCAAAAAAAGUGUUGUGUGGCUAGGGUCGCACGUGACCGAGAUCCUUGCAAAUUCCUGCGGGGGGCCCUAGCGUACAUUCAAUUUCCCUUCCCUUACCCCCCUCCAGCAGUUGUAAACCAUCGCCACAAAGCCACCAACCAACACCAACAAUCGCCGCGCUUACGCCCCGCCCUAACCACUAUCAUUGCAACGAUAUGCCAACUAAAACGAUAUGCAUAGAUAAGAAAGUCAAAGCGCAAGGAUAUAACGUCGAAAUUGCCGAACCCGGCAGACAAGGCAUGCGGGGCGCUCGUACAUGCGGCAGUGCUGACCUCGUACCUCUUAAUAACCGUCUGCUGCUGCAUAGUUGAUACCUGGUGGGUUCGAAUUCCAAUUUGUGCGUGUUUGCAUUGUUUAGGUUGUUAGGCAGACAACAUACGCAUGGCGUGCGUCUGCCGUACAUCACCAAUUUCGGCAGUAGAUAACCAGACUCGUUUCUCCCCCGUCCUUCUCCCCUAUUUUCCUCUUCCCCGCAUUUCCUAUAUGGAUAUUUAUUUCUUAUUUACCAGUGGUGCGGCAUCACCAGUAGGAGGCCUCAGUAGUCCCCCAUUAAUGGGCGACCUCCUCCACUACCAUAUCCAACCGCACAUGCAUACGCUACACAAG
rnacentral:lncRNA from 1 species